rnacentral:lncRNA from 1 species
CCAGCUUUCCUUACGCCGUAGCCAUCACCGCCUCUACGAACGCCUCAAACCUUUCUUGUCUGGCUGCUAAACAACUUGACAUUGAUCCUGAGGCGAAGGCAGCGACAUAUCUCUGGCUAUUUCCAUCGGUUGGGCUUCAGAUUCCAUUCAAGGGAAAGCAGGAGAAAAAUCCGGAACGAUGACGUUUACGGUAGGAGAAGACUCAGCGCCGAGGGAGGGCAUACUUUACUACACAGAUAACAAGAACUGUGCUGUUGCAGACUUUGAGUACGACGGACACGACUUAAAUUGAAAGAAGGACAGAAAAAAACAGAUGGGA